CUUCACUCGCCACCCGUCGUUUACUCAUCGGGCUUCAUUGCUGGAUUCCCCUGUUGUGGGCAUAGAAUCUUGCAAAAGAUGAGUGGUCACCUUAGAAUGCCCAUAAUAUUUGGAUAGGUCAAAGGCUCAGAUGGUAUGGCUCCCACGUCUCGUUAGCUUUGAAUUUUGAAUCAUGCAGAGUCUAAAUUCAGUGAGAAGUUACAAGGGAAAGUGACUGAAGCAGCCACAAGACUGUGAUGGGAAUUAGAAGGCGAAAAGGGUAAGAAGAUAUGGGAGACCUCUUUCUAGAAUUGACACGUUAAGGAGGCAUGAGAUUGCUAAGAAUGUGAUACUGUUACAGAAUAACUUUAUCCAGAAAACGGUGGUUCAGAACAAAGUAAAGAAGGGAGAUCAUUGUUAUUGCUGCUUGUGGCUGGUGCAUUUUGUCCAGAAACAGAUCUCUCAGAAUAAUGUAGCAUCUUAUGGGCAAAACUUUAGAUAUGAAUAUGUAUUGAUAAUUGAAAUAUGAAUUACUAAUAUAUUCGAUGCGUUGACUGCAAUUUAUAUCAGCAUGACAUGACACUACAUUUUGAAUAAGAAUAACCGCACUUGCUUUA